GGAGGAAAGUAGGGGAUCGUAAGACCUUGCGCUUUUGGAGUGGCCGAUGCCUGAUUAGCUAGUUGGUGGGGUAAGAGCCUACCAAGGCGACGAUCAGUAGUUGGUCUGAGAGGACGACCAGCCACACUGGGACUGAGACACGGCCCAGACUCCUACGGGAGGCAGCAGUGGGGAAUUUUGGACAAUGGGCGAAAGCCUGAUCCAGCAAUGCCGCGUGAGUGAAGAAGGCCUUCGGGUUGUAAAGCUCUUUCAGUCGAGAAGAAAAGGUUGUGACUAAUAAUCGCAACUUAUGACGGUAUCGACAGAAGAAGCACCGGCUAACUACGUGCCAGCAGCCGCGGUAAUACGUAAGGUGCGAGCGUUAAUCGGAAUUACUGGGCGUAAAGGGUGCGCAGGCGGCUCUGUAAGUCAGAUGUGAAAUCCCCGGGCUUAACCUGGGAAUUGCGUUUGAAACUACAAAGCUAGA
rnacentral:rRNA from 1 species